GACGAACGCUGGCGGCGUGCUUAACACAUGCAAGUCGAACGGAAAGGCCCUGCUUUUGUGGGGUGCUCGAGUGGCGAACGGGUGAGUAACACGUGAGUAACCUGCCCUUGACUUUGUGAUAACUUCAGGAAACUGGUGCUAAUACCGGAUAGGAGCUCCUGCUGCAUGGGGGGGUUUGGAAAGUUUAGGCUGAUGGGGAUGGACUGGGGGCUUAUCAGCUUGUUGGUGGGGUAGUGGCUUACCAAGGCUUUGACGGGUAGUCGGCCUGAGAGGGGGACCGGCCACAAGGGGACUGAGGGAGGGACCAGAGGCGUACGGGAGGCAGCAGUGGGGAAUAUUGCACAGUGGGCGGGAGCCUGAUGCAGCAGCGCCGCGUGCGGGAUGAAGGCCUUGGGGUUGUAAAGCGCAUUAGCUUGUGACCAAGCGGGAGUGACGGUAAUAGGUAAAGAAGCACCGGCUAACUACGUG
rnacentral:rRNA from 1 species